rnacentral:misc_RNA from 1 species
ACAAAGCAGUCAUGGAAAUGAAGCCUGAUGAGGCUGGCACCAAUCCUGGAAUCAGAUUGCAAGGAUUCUUGGAUGACUCCACGAAUAAUGUUGGAGACGUUUGGGCAGCUUUGAUCAUAAAAUGUUGGAGAUAGCUGAGCGUAGGCCGGGGGUCUUGAUGAUCCAACUAAAAUUGCAUAUAAAGCUAUCGCCACCAACAUCAAUGGAGAGAUAUGCAUCGUCCUCUCUGUGCCUAGCCAAUGGUUUUGAUGAGUUUUCAAUGUAUAGAAAUGGUCUCGUUGAAGCUUUCAUUUAUAGACCAAUAAGGAUUGGAAGCAGCUGGGGCAGGUACCCUGCCAU